UCAUGGCGGAACAGCAGCGGGUCGGUGGUUCGCUUUCACACCGUCACAGAUUUGUUUUAAGAAGUUUUCUGUAAACUUUGAUCGGAAUCAAACUUUAAAUGUAUCCGAUCUGAUCACUAACAGGAAGCAGCCAGCGCGUGAGUUUGACUCAGAUGGAUGGUGAAGCAGGCCUGAGCCGUUAAGAAGGAAAGAAGAAGCUGCACAAAUCGGUUUUGAUGGAGGAACCAAACUCAGAUGUUGAGGAGCAUGACAUCAAGGAACCGAAAGGCUCAGUCAGCAAGAUGACACAACAGUCUGGUAAGAAGGACGUGUGAAGAGUAAAGGUGGAACUGAGCGUGAUCCUUAUGGAGCGGACGUCCUGUCUGCCUUUCCAGUCUGUGAGCCCCAUGACAGAUGGAGUGAGAGAGGAAGAGGAGGAGAGGCACGUCCAAGCUCCCUGCUCGAGUACACCGUCCAUCUAGGUGACCAGCACCGUACCACCAACCCCCCUUUCACCCAACCAGCCCAGAGGCCUUGUCCAUUCACACCUCCUCUUAGUUCAGUGGCUGCUGCAGUUACCUCUGCAGAAGAUCCAGCUGUUUCUGGCCCCAUGACUGGCACCUGCAGUCCCAUUUGCUCCAUGUGCUGUCCCACUGCUUCAGGCUGGGACUCUCUCAGAUCCACAUCCAGGAUUCCCAGCUGCUCUGAUGGAGAUCCUGUCAGUGCUGCUGCUCACCUUCACCUCCUGGGGGAGUCCUUGUCUCUGAUUGGACACCAUCUUCAGGAAACAGAUAAAAUGCUGAACGUGUCCAGCAGCUUGUCUCUGCUCCUCGACUCUCUGCUUUGUGCCCUGGCCCCGAUAAUCUGCCUCACCGCACAAAUACCAGAGCUCAGGAGCUGCACACAACACACACUGGCCUCCACCCUGGAAAACAUUGCCUAUAUGAUGCCUGGGCUGUGAGUGAUGAUGGAGACCACAAGGGCACAUGUGCUCUGAUAGGUUGAAAGACAUUUCAGUUUAGUUUACGUAGAAAAAGUGAGAAUCAAAACUAUUUCAUUAUAAAAUAAUAUUGGUUUGCACUUUGUAUUUGUGUUAAAUGUACACAUUAGUUAACGUUUAUGUAUUGGUUGUUUAAUUAAAAGACACAUUUGUACACUUA